rnacentral:rRNA from 1 species
GAUGAACGCUAGCGGCAGGCUUAACACAUGCAAGUCGAGGGGCAGCGCGGGGUAGCAAUACUCUGGCGGCGACCGGCGGAAGGGUGCGUAACGCGUGAGCAACAUGCCCGUAUCAGGGGGAUAACCGAUGGAAACGUCGCCUAAUACCCCAUAACAACAGGGAGGACAUCCUUCCUGCUUGAAAGCUUUGGCGGAUACGGAUUGGCUCGCGUGACAUUAGCUAGUUGGCGGGGUAACGGCCCACCAAGGCGACGAUGUCUAGGGGUUCUGAGAGGAAGGUCCCCCACACUGGAACUGAGACACGGUCCAGACUCCUACGGGAGGCAGCAGUGAGGAAUAUUGGUCAAUGGGCGGAAGCCUGAACCAGCCAUGCCGCGUGAAGGAAGAAGGCCCUGUGGGUCGUAAACAUCUUUUGUGCGGGAGCAAUAAGGACUACGAGUAGUCCGAUGAGAGUACCGUACGAAUAAGCAUCGGCUAACUCCGUGCCAGCAGCCGCGGUAAUACGGAGGAUGCAAGCGUUAUCCGGAUUUAUUGGGUUUAAAGGGUGCGUAGGCUGUUUAGCAAGUCAGUGGUGAAAUGCCGGGGCUUAACCCCGGAACUGCCAUUGAUACUGUUAGGCUUGAAUGCGGAUGCCGUGGGAGGAAUGAGUAGUGUAGCCGGUGAAAUGCAUAGAUAUUACUCAGAACACCGAUUGCGAAGGCAUCUCACGAAUCCGCUAUUGACGCUGAGGCACGAAAGCGUGGGGAUCAAACAGGAUUAGAUACCCUGGUAGUCCACGCAGUAAACGAUGAUAACUAACUGCCGGCGAUAGAGUGUCGGUGGCCAAGCGAAAGCGAUAAGUUAUCCACCUGGGGAGUACGACCGCAAGGUUGAAACUCAAAGGAAUUGACGGGGGCCCGCACAAGCGAAGGAACAUGUGGUUUAAUUCGAUGAUACGCGAGGAACCUUACCCGGGCUCGAACGGCAGACGAACGAUGCAGAGAUGCAAAGGUCCUUCGGGACGUCUGUCGAGGUGCUGCAUGGUUGUCGUCAGCUCGUGCCGUGAGGUGUCGGCUCAAGUGCCAUAACGAGCGCAACCCUUGUCGUCAGUUACCAGCAUGUAAAGAUGGGGACUCUGGCGAGACUGCCACCGCAAGGUGAGAGGAAGGGGGGGAUGACGUCAAAUCAGCACGGCCCCUACGUCCGGGGCGACACACGUGUUACAAUGGGGGUUACAGAGGGGAACUACCUGGCGACAGGAUGUAAAUCUCGAAAAGCCUCCUCAGUUCGGAUCGGAGUCUGCAACCCGACUCCGUGAAGCUGGAUUCGCUAGUAAUCGCGCAUCAGCCAUGGCGCGGUGAAUACGUUCCCGGGCCUUGUACACACCGCCCGUCAAGCCAUGAAAGCCGGGGGCGCCUGAAGUCCGUGACCGGAAGGAGCGGCCUAGGGUGAAACUGGUAAUUGGGGC